rfam:Macaca mulatta chromosome 7, whole genome shotgun sequence.
UAGUGAGUAUAUGAGGGAGUAGGAUGUAUGGUUGUUACACAGAGAACUAAAAUCUUUUCUCACAACAGACAG